GAAUCUGUUUAUGGCAAAUCCUCACUUAGUUAUGGCAUACUUAAACCUGAAUGCUCGAAAUCACCCAUUAUUGUGUGGAUAAUAUUUUUUUUAGAUUUUAAUCCGAGU
rfam:Populus trichocarpa scaffold_6_contig_25, whole genome shotgun sequence.